rnacentral:rRNA from 1 species
CAUUACUGAAGAUCAUAGAGUUUUGAGACUGCGUCCUUAACAUGACGUGUGCUCGACUCUUACUCUUUAUCCACACACCUUUGUGCACCAUGGGACGAACAAGUCCCCUUUUUACAUAAACACCAAGUUAUAUGCAUGUUUUUAUACGCUCUACGGAGUAAUGUACAACUUUCAACAACGGAUCUCUUGGCUUUCGCAUCGAUGAAGAACGCAGCGAACGUGCGAAACGUAAUGUGAAUUGCAGAAUUCAGUGAAUCAUCGAAUCUUUGAACGCAUCUUGCGCUCCUUGGUAUUCCGAGGAGCAUGCCUGUUUGAGUGUCGUGAAAUACUCUCAAUUUCAAUCUUUUUUGAUUGAAAUUGGAUUUGGGUGUUGCUGUGGAGUCAUCCACAGCUCAUCCUAAAUGCAUUAGCGAUCUGCCUCUGAUCACACGCAAUGUGAUAAGAAAAAGCAUUGUUAUGAUUGAGUUAAGAUGGCUUCUAACCGUCGAAAGACAAGCAUAUAAUAUAUGUCAUUUGACCUCAAAUCAGGUAGGA